rnacentral:SRP_RNA from 1 species
GCCGGGCGUGGUGGCACGCGCCUGUAAUCCCAGCUACUCAGGAGGCUGAGGCAGGAGAAUUGCUAGAACCCAGGAGGCAGAGGUUGCAGUGAGCCGAGAUCGUGCCACUGCACCCCAGCCUGGGCGACAGAGCGAGACUCUGUCUCAA